rnacentral:rRNA from 1 species
UACGCAGGUGGCAAGCGUUGUCCGGAUUUACUGGGCGUAAAGAGCGCGCAGGCGGUCGGAUUAGUCGCGUGUGAAAGCCCCCGGCUCAACUGGGGAGGGUCACGCGAUACUGUUCGACUCGAAGGCAGGAGAGGGAAGUGGAAUUCCCGGUGUAGUGGUGAAAUGCGCAGAUAUCAGGAGGAACACCAGUGGCGAAAGCGGCUUCCUGGUCCAGCACCGACGUUCAGGCACGAAAGCGUGGGGAGCAAACAGG